rnacentral:rRNA from 1 species
AAUUUUGGACAAUGGGGGAAACCCUGAUCCAGCCAUCCCGCGUGUAUGAUGAAGGCCUUCGGGUUGUAAAGUACUUUUGGCAGAGAAGAAAAGGUAUCUCCUAAUGCGAGAUACUGCUGAAGCUAUCUGCAGAAUAAGCACCGGCUAACUACGUGCCAGCAGCUGCGGUAAUACGUAUGGUGCAAGCGUUAAUCGGAAUUACUGGGCGGAAAGCGUGUGUAGGCGGUUCGGAAAGAAAGAUGUGAUAUCCCAGGGCUAAACCAUGGAAAUGCAUUUUUAACUGCCGAGCUAGAGUAUGUCAGAGGGGGGUAGAAUUCCACGUGUAGCAGUGAAAUGCGUAGAUAUGUGGAGGAGUACCGAUGGCGAAGGCAGCCCCCUGGGAUAAUACUGACGCUCAGACACGAAAGCGUGGGGAGCAAACA